ACUAGAAAAAAGAAAGUGAAAGAUAGAAAUUGAAACCAUCAUUAUCCUAGCACUCCAUAAAUCCGUACUUUCCUAAUGUUUAGUUUAUAAUUAAGCUUCAAGGGACAAAAAUGAUGCAAGAGAGCUAGGUUCUUAUCUCACAGAGUUGAAGAAUGAAUCUCACGGACAAAGGAGCCAUUAGGUCCCAGUCUGAUGUUUUUAAACCCAUGGCAUGGAAUAGAAAGGUCCUCUUUGGGGAGCCAGCUACCACAGGGCCUCUGCUUUGGGCCUGGCCUUGCCACUGGAACAGGAAAAAAUGCAGCUCUUCUGUUCUUACCAUGUGGAACUCAGGUGAUCUAGUUGCAGAUAAAUU